ACACAGUUAUAAUCGACGUGA
rnacentral:siRNA from 1 species